rnacentral:rRNA from 1 species
AGAGUUUGAUCCUGGCUCAGGAUGAACGCUAGCUGCAGGCUUAAUACAUGCAAGUCGAGGGGUAACAGAGAGUGCUUGCACUCUGCUGACGACCGGCGCACGGGUGAGUAACGCGUAUGCAACCUACCUUUUACAGAGGGAUACCCAAGAGAAAUUUUGAAUAAUACCUCAUAAGCUCUAUUUAUAGCAUUUUAAAUAGAGGAAAACUCCGGUGGUAAAAGAUGGGCAUGCGUCCUAUUAGUUUGUUGGUAAGGUAACGGCUUACCAAGACUACGAUAGGUAGGGGUCCUGAGAGGGAGACCCCCCACACUGGUACUGAGACACGGACCAGACUCCUACGGGAGGCAGCAGUAAGGAAUAUUGGACAAUGGAGGAAACUCUGAUCCAGCCAUGCAGCGUGCAGGAAGACGGCCCUAUGGGUUGUAAACUGCUUUUAUACAGGAAGAAAUCUAUCCACGUGUGGGUAGUUGACGGUACUGUACGAAUAAGGAUCGGCUAACUCCGUGCCAGCAGCCGCGGUAAUACGGAGGAUCCAAGCGUUAUCCGGAAUCAUUGGGUUUAAAGGGUCCGUAGGCGGUCUAUUAAGUCAGAGGUGAAAUCCUGCCGCUCAACGGUAGAAUGGCCUUUGAUACUGAUAGACUUGAGUUAUUGUGAAGUAGUUAGAAUGUGUAGUGUAGCGGUGAAAUGCAUAGAUAUUACACAGAAUACCAAUUGCGAAGGCAGAUUACUAACAAUACACUGACGCUGAGGGACGAAAGCGUGGGUAGCGAACAGGAUUAGAUACCCUGGUAGUCCACGCCGUAAACGAUGGUCACUAGCUGUUUGACUAACAUUGGUUUAGUUGAGUGGCUAAGCGAAAGUGAUAAGUGACCCACCUGG